UUAUAAUAGCCUCCGAAUGACGUAGUAUAAGAAACCAUAUAAAAAAUCCACUUAUAUUCGAAAAAACAUUUAAAUUUUUUUGACAUGUCAAUGCUCCCAAGCGUUGAUGCAUCUACCUGUAUUCUUCUGCCAUGGUCCCACCAUAAGUUGAACCGGAAUUUGAAAUCGAGUAUGAAUAGUCGAGUACUCGGUUUCACCCAAGUCCAUAGUCGUGUUCGAGUUUCAAACCUUUGAGUACUAAAGGUCCAUUAUUCGAUUAAUCAGAAGUCGACUUACCUAUCCCUAGCAUAGCAAACAUAAACAAACAAUUACAGCACAGCAAGCAGUUUAAAAACAAAUUGUACAAUUGUACAACAAUCAUAGCACAGCAAGCAGUUUAAAAACAAAUUGUAACAAAUUCAUUUUGAUGCUAUAGCUGGCAUUUGGUUAUGGAAAACAAUUUUAUUGAUGAUUACGAACAUAUCAAUUCCGAAGUGGAGUACAUAUUGGAAAAUGUGUUGAGCGAGGAUACGUUACAAAGCUCAAGUCCAGAAUCGAAGCAAUUAGUGGAUUUGUUUAAUACACUUUUAUUAAACAAAUGCUCAUGCAAAGAAUGUAAUAAUUAUUUGUGCACUCAUGGAUGUUCCUAUGAGCCCGAUUUGGAAUCUAAGGAGCUCGUGAUUUCAAGGGAUAAUUUUAGUGAUUUAUUGUACGAGUGCACUCCCCUUUGUUCCUGCAAAACAAAAACCUGUUGCAAUAGAUUGGUGCAAUAUGGGCCCAGAAAAGAUUUAAAAAUAAUAUUUUCUAAGAAAUAUCAAUCUUAUGGAAUCAUUACUACCAGAGAUAUCCCAAGGGGGGCCUUCAUUUGUGAAUACGCCGGUGAGCUUCUUACAAGGGAAGAGGCAAUGAAACGUAUAUAUGAAAACAAAAAACAAGGUCGAAUGAAUUAUGUGCUCUGCUUAAAGGAGAGUCUUAAUGGUCCCCAUCUUGAUGUAACAAACAACGGGGGAUUUACAAUAAUUGUGGACCCGGCCAAAAGAGGAAAUAUUGGGCUAUAUUUAAAUCAUAGCUGCAAUCCGAAUUGUCAGAUAUUUAGUGUACGAGUAGAUUCGCCAAUACCAAAUAUAGGAAUUUUUGCCAAACGUUUCAUUAAAUCAGGGGAAGAACUGUGUUUUCACUAUAAUGAAGGGAGGAAGUGCUCACCACAAUCAAGUUUUGAAGAUCGUAUACUAUGUCUAUGUAAAUCUGAAGUAUGCGAAAGCUUUUUACCCAACGCGGACAUAUAAACACAGAUCUGAAACAUGAACGGUUUAGUAUGUUAGCAACAACGUAUAUACCCUAGCUGUUAUGCCUUUUAGUUUGAGUAUUUAACAUUUUAAUGAAAAUAAAAAAAUUGAAUGAAAUGGAA